CCUGUUUAACAAAAACAUGUYUUUUUGAGUUAUUUUUAAAGUYUGACCUGCCCMCUGAAAUUAUUUAAAUGGCCSCAGUAUUUUAACUGUGCAAAGGUAGCAUAAUCAUUAGUYUUUUAAUUGAAGGCUGGUAUGAACGGUUGGACGAGGUAUAAGCUGUUUCAUGUAAAUUUWUGAUAGAAUUUUAUAUUUUAGUUAAAAAGCUAAAAUUUGAUUAAAAGACGAGAAGACCCUAUAAAUCUUUAUAUUUUGAAUUAUUUAAAUUUUUUUUUUAUUUUAUUUUUAUAGUUUAAUGUAUUUUGUUGGGGUGAUAUUAAAAUUUAAUUAACUUUUAAUUGUUUAAAAUCAUUAAUUUAUGAAUUAUUGAUCCGUUAGUAGUGAUUAUAAGUUUAAGUUACUUUAGGGAUAACAGCGUAAUUUUUUUGGAGAGUUCUUAUCGAUAAAAAAGUUUGCGACCUCGAUGUUGGAUUAAGAUGUAUUUUAGGUGUAGCUGCUUAAAU
rnacentral:rRNA from 1 species